CAGAGUUGCAAGACUCCCUAAACCAUUGUGAACCUACCUUCUACCGUUGCUUCGGCGGGCGGGCCCAGCGCCCCCCCGGCCCCCCCGCGGGCGCCCGCCGGAGGAUACCCAAACUCUUGACAUUAGUGGCCUCUCUGAGUAUUCUUUACUGAAUAAGUCA
rnacentral:misc_RNA from 1 species